UGGUAGUGUAUUGGACUACCAUGGCAGUCACGGGUAACGGAGAAUUAGGUCGAUUCCGGAGAGGGAGCCUGAGAAACGGCUACCACAUCUACGGAAGGCAGCAGGCGCGUAAAUUACCCAAUCCUGAUUCAGGGAGGUAGUGACAAGAAAUAACAACUCGGGGCCUCACGGCUUACGAGAUUGCAAUGAGAACAAUUUAAAUCUCUUAGCGAGGGAACAAUUGGAGGGCAAGUCUGGUGCCAGCAGCCGCGGUAAUUCCAGCUCCAAUAGCGUAUAUUAAAGUUGUUGCAGUUAAAAAGCUCGUAGUUGAAUUUCUGAUUAUGGAUGUAGCGGUUUCCGUUACAUUUGUAGUCAUCCACAUGAGAACCUUUCUCGGCCUUCACUGGUCGGUUGGGGGAUCAUGUACUUACUUUGAAAAAUCAGAGUGUUUCAGGCAGGCGUUUGCAUGAAUACACAAGCAUGGAAUAAUGGAAUAGGACUAGGGUCCAUUUUAUUGGUUAUUGGACCAUAGUAAUGAUUAAUAGGGAC
rnacentral:rRNA from 1 species